GGGGAUAUGGCGACGGGUGAGUACACGUGGGCAAUCUGCCCUUCACUCUGGGACAAGCCCUGGAAACGGGGUCUAAUACCGGAUACGACACACGACCGCAUGGUCUGUGUGUGGAAAGCUCCGGCGGUGAAGGAUGAGCCCGCGGCCUAUCAGCUUGUUGGUGGGGUAAUGGCCUACCAAGGCGACGACGGGUAGCCGGCCUGAGAGGGCGACCGGCCACACUGGGACUGAGACACGGCCCAGACUCCUACGGGAGGCAGCAGUGGGGAAUAUUGCACAAUGGGCGAAAGCCUGAUGCAGCGACGCCGCGUGAGGGAUGACGGCCUUCGGGUUGUAAACCUCUUUCAGCAGGGAAGAAGCGAGAGUGACGGUACCUGCAGAAGAAGCGCCGGCUAACUACGUGCCAGCAGCCGCGGUAAUACGUAGGGCGCAAGCGUUGUCCGGAAUUAUUGGGCGUAAAGAGCUCGUAGGCGGCUUGUCACGUCGGAUGUGAAAGCCCGGGGCUUAACCCCGGGUCUGCAUUCGAUACGGGCAGGCUAGAGUUCGGUAGGGGAGAUCGGAAUUCCUGGUGUAGCGGUGAAAUGCGCAGAUAUC
rnacentral:rRNA from 1 species